rnacentral:tRNA from 1 species
GGCCUCGUAGCUCAGCUGGUAGAGCAUGCGCGUACAAAGCGUAGGUAGGCGUCCAUGCGUGAGUUCGAAUCCCACCGAGGCUC